rnacentral:lncRNA from 1 species
GAAAUCAAGGCUGUAAUAAGAUUACGGAGCCAGGCAUAUUUAAAACGUUUUUCAUUGUUCUCCUUUUCUUUUUCUAACUCGUAUUCAUAAAGCGCAAGACACCAAACAUAGCAGGGAUGGCAGCAGUUUGCAGAGAUGAUAAAGGGCAAAAAACCAAUUAAUGAAGAUCAAUCAGGUGCCGAGUAUCAGGGUACUCUUGUCGGGGAAGCAACAGCCUUUUUCUCUUGCUAUGAAGUUGGCUAUACAUUAUGAAAGUUUCAGCAUUGUCUGGUGGAUCUAAAUCAAUCGGAGAAAUUACAAAACUAUUAUGUUGGUUUUGCAUUUUAAUCCUCUGCUAAUUGGGUUUUCGAUACCCCUCCUGAAUUAAAACUCCUUUGUUAAAGAAAUUCUCAGUUCUGUACAGGAAAAAGAGAAAAAGAAAAAAGAAAGACCAAGGAUAUACUUUUCUUCAUUAACUUUUAACUUUCCUGC